CAACACGGGGAGGUAGUGACAAGAAAUAACAAUACGGGGUCUUUAUAGGUCUCGCAAUUGGAAUGAGUACAAUCUAAAUCCCUUAACGAGUAUCCAUUGGAGGGCAAGUCUGGUGCCAGCAGCCGCGGUAAUUCCAGCUCCAAUAGCGUAUAUUUAAGUUGUUGCAGUUAAAAAGCUCGUAGUUGGAUUUCGGGUGGGUUGUAGCGGUCAGCCUUUGGUUAGUACUGCUACGGCCUACCUUUCUGCCGGGGACGAGCUCCUGGGCUUAACUGUCCGGGACUCGGAAUCGGCGAGGUUACUUUGAGUAAAUUAGAGUGUUCAAAGCAAGCCUACGCUCUGAAUACAUUAGCAUGGAAUAACACGAUAGGACUCUGGCUUAUCUUGUUGGUCUGUAAGACCGGAGUAAUGAUUAAGAGGGACAGUCGGGGGCAUUCGUAUUUCAUUGUCAGAGGUGAAAUUCUUGGAUUUAUGAAAGACGAACUUCUGCGAAAGCAUUUGCCAAGGAUGUUUUCAUUAAUCAAGAACGAAAGUUGGGGGCUCGAAGACGAUUGGAUACCGUCGUAGUCUCAACCAUAAACGAUGCCGACUAGGGAUUGGCAGGUGUUUCGUUGAUGACCCUGCCAGCACCUUAUGAGAAAUCAAAGUUUUUGGGUUCCGGGGGGAGUAUGGUCGCAAGGCUGAAACUUAAAGGAAUUGACGGAAGGGCACCACCAGGCGUGGAGCCUG
rnacentral:rRNA from 1 species